UACGGAGGGUGCGAGCGUUGUCCGGAAUCAUUGGGCGUAAAGGGCGCGUAGGUGGCCCGGUCAGCGUGCGGUGAAAGCUCGGGGCUCAACCCCGAGUCGGCCGUGCGAACUGCUGGGCUCGAGCACUGUAGAGGCAGGCGGAAUUCCGGGUGUAGCGGUGGAAUGCGCAGAUAUCGGGAGGAACACCAAUGGCGAAGGCGGCGACCUGGUCCUUGACUGACGCUGAGGCGCGAAAGCGUGGGGAGCGAACAGG
rnacentral:rRNA from 1 species